rnacentral:rRNA from 1 species
ACGCGUUGAACCUUACCAGGUCUUGACAUCCUCUGACACUCCUAGAGAUAGGACGUUCCCCUUCGGGGGACAGAGUGACAGGUGGUGCAUGGUUGUCGUCAGCUCGUGUCGUGAGAUGUUGGGUUAAGUCCCGCAACGAGCGCAACCCUUGAUCUUAGUUGCCAGCAUUUAGUUGGGCACUCUAAGGUGACUGCCGGUGACAAACCGGAGGAAGGUGGGGAUGACGUCAAAUCAUCAUGCCCCUUAUGACCUGGGCUACACACGUGCUACAAUGGAUGGUACAAAGGGCAGCAAAACCGCGAGGUCGAGCAAAUCCCAUAAAACCAUUCUCAGUUCGGAUUGCAGGCUGCAACUCGCCUGCAUGAAGCUGGAAUCGCUAGUAAUCGCGGAUCAGCAUGCCGCGGUGAAUACGUUCCCGGGCCUUGCACACACCGCCCGU